rnacentral:misc_RNA from 1 species
AAAGCCUGACGGAGCAAUACCGCGUGAGGGAGGAAGGCUCUUGGGUUGUAAACCUCUUUUUUCAAGGAAGAAAAAAAUGACGGUACUUGAAGAAUAAGCAUCGGCUAACUCCGUGCCAGCAGCCGCGGUAAUACGGAGGAUGCAAGCGUUAUCCGGAAUCAUUGGGCGUAAAGCGUCCGCAGGUGGCCAUUCAAGUCUGUUGUUAAAGACUAGAGCUUAACUCUGGAAAGGCAAUGGAAACUGUGUGGCUAGAGUAUGGUAGGGGUUGAGGGAAUUCCCAGUGUAGCGGUGAAAUGCGUAGAUAUUGGGAAGAACACCAGUGGCGAAGGCGCUCAACUGGGCCAUAACUGACACUCAGGGACGAAAGCUAGGGGAGCGAAAGGGAUUAGAUACCCCUGUAGUCCUAGCUGUAAACGAUGAACACUAGGCGUUGCUUGUAUCGACCCGAGCAGUGCCGUAGCCAACGCGUUAAGUGUUCCGCCUGGGGAGUACGCACGCAAGUGUGAAACUCAAAGGAAUUGACGGGGGCCCGCACAAGCGGUGGAGUAUGUGGUUUAAUUCGAUGCAACGCGAAGAACCUUACCAGGACUUGACAUGUCGCGAAUCUUUAGGAGACUAGAGAGUGCCUUAGGGAGCGCGAACACAGGUGGUGCAUGGCUGUCGUCAGCUCGUGUCGUGAGAUGUUGGGUUAAGUCCCGCAACGAGCGCAACCCUCGUUCUUAGUUGCCAGCAUUAAGUUGGGCACUUUAGGAAGACUGCCGGUGACAAACCGGAGGAAGGUGGGGAUGACGUCAAGUCAGCAUGCCCCUUACGUUCUGGGCUACACACGUACUACAAUGGUUGGGACAAAGGGCAGCAAGCUCGCGAGAGUAAGCGAAUCUCAUCAAACCCAGCCUCAGUUCAGAUUGCAGGCUGAAACUCGCCUGCAUGAAGG